GUGAACGCUGGCGGUAGGCCUAACACAUGCCAGUCGAACGGCAGCACAGUAAGAGCUUGCUCUUACGGGUGGCGAGUGGCGGACGGGUGAGGAAUACAUCGGAAUCUACUUUUUCGUGGGGGAUAACGUAGGGAAACUUACGCUAAUACCGCAUACGACCUACGGGUGAAAGCAGGGGAUCUUCGGACCUUGCGCGAUUGAAUGAGCCGAUGUCGGAUUAGCUAGUUGGCGGGGUAAAGGCCCACCAAGGCGACGAUCCGUAGCUGGUCUGAGAGGAUGAUCAGCCACACUGGAACUGAGACACGGUCCAGACUCCUACGGGAGGCAGCAGUGGGGAAUAUUGGACAAUGGGCGCAAGCCUGAUCCAGCCAUACCGCGUGGGUGAAGAAGGCCUUCGGGUUGUAAUGCCCUUUUGUUGGGAAAGAAAAGCAGCAGGUUAAUACCCCGCUGUUCUGACGGUACCCAAAGAAUAAGCACCGGCUAACUUCGUG
rnacentral:rRNA from 1 species